rnacentral:rRNA from 1 species
CAGUCGAGCGCAGGAAUCGACGGAACCCUUCGGGGGGAAGUCGAUGGAAUGAGCGGCGGACGGGUGAGUAACACGUAAAGAACCUGCCCUCAGGUCUGGGAUAACCACGAGAAAUCGGGGCUAAUACCGGAUGGGUCAUCGGACCGCAUGGUCCGAGGAUGAAAGGCGCUUCGGCGUCGCCUGGGGAUGGCUUUGCGGUGCAUUAGCUAGUUGGUGGGGUAAUGGCCCACCAAGGCGACGAUGCAUAGCCGACCUGAGAGGGUGAUCGGCCACACUGGGACUGAGACACGGCCCAGACUCCUACGGGAGGCAGCAGUAGGGAAUCUUCCACAAUGGACGAAAGUCUGAUGGAGCAACGCCGCGUGAACGAUGAAGGCCUUCGGGUCGUAAAGUUCUGUUGUAAGGGAAGAACAAGUGCCGCAGGCAAUGGCGGCACCUUGACGGUACCUUGCGAGAAAGCCACGGCUAACUACGUGCCAGCAGCCGCGGUAAUACGUAGGUGGCAAGCGUUGUCCGGAAUUAUUGGGCGUAAAGCGCGCGCAGGCGGCCUCUUAAGUCUGAUGUGAAAGCCCCCGGCUCAACCGGGGAGGGCCAUUGGAAA